AGAAUCAACGCUGGCGGCGUGCCUAACACAUGCAAGUCGAACGAGAAAGUGGAGCAAUCCAUGAGUAAAGUGGCGACCGGGUGAGUAACACGUGACUAACCUACCUUCGAGUGGGGGAUAACCUCGGGAAAACCGAGGCUAAUACCGCAUAACAUCGCAAGAUCAAAGCAGCAAUGCGCUGGAAGAGGGGGUCGCGGCUGAUUAGCUAGUUGGCGGGUAACGGCCCACCAAGGCGAAGAUCGGUAUCCGGCCUGAGAGGGCGCACGGACACACUGGAACUGAAACACGGUCCAGACUCCUACGGGAGGCAGCAGUGGGGAAUUUUGCGCAAUGGGGGAAACCCUGACGCAGCAACGCCGCGUGGAGGAUGAAGCCCCUUGGGGCGUAAACUCCUUUCGACCAAGACGAUAAUGACGGUACUGGUGGAAGAAGCACCGGCUAACUCUGCGCCAGCAGCCGC
rnacentral:rRNA from 1 species